rfam:Picea glauca, whole genome shotgun sequence.
ACAUGCCUACAACAUAGUGUUAAUGCACCAGAUUCCAUUAUAACUCCGCAAUUAAGCGUGCUCAGGCUGGAUUAGCACUAGGAUGGGUAACUGCUCGGGAAGUCCUAGUGUUUUACAUGCC